AUGCAAGUCGAACGGCAGCACGGGUGCUUGCACCUGGUGGCGAGUGGCGAACGUGUGAGUAAUAUAUCGGAACGUACCUUAUUGUGGGGGAUAACGCAGCGAAAGCUGUGCUAAUACCGCAUAAUCCCUUAGGGGGAAAGCGGGGGACCGUAAGGCCUCGCGCAAUUAGAGCGGCCGAUACCUGAUUAGCUAGUUGGUGAGGUAAAGGCUCACCAAGGCAACGAUCAGUAGCUGGUCUGAGAGGACGAUCAGCCACACUGGGACUGAGACACGGCCCAGACUCCUACGGGAGGCAGCAGUGGGGAAUUUUGGACAAUGGGGGCAACCCUGAUCCAGCAAUGCCGCGUGAGUGAAGAAGGCCUUCGGGUUGUAAAGCUCUUUUGUCAGGGAAGAAACAGCAGCUCUAACACAGUCUGCGAAUGACGGUACCUGAAGAAUAAGCACCGGCUAACUACGUGCCAGCAGCCGCGGUAAUACGUAGGGUGCAAGCGUUAAUCGGAAUUACUGGGCGUAAAGCGUGCGCAGGCGGUUAUGUAAGACAGGCGUGAAAUCCCCGGGCUUAACCUGGGAAUUGCGCUUGUGACUGCAUAGCUAGAGUAUGUCAGAGGGGGGUAGAAUUCCACGUGUAGCAGUGAAAUGCGUAGAGAUGUGGAGGAAUACCAAUGGCGAAGGCAGCCCCCUGGGAUAAUACUGACGCUCAUGCACGAAAGCGUGGGGAGCAAACAGGAUUAGAUACCCUGGUAGUCCACGCCCUAAACGAUGCUGACUAGUUGUUCGGGAAUUUAUUCCUGAGUAACGUAGCUAACGCGUGAAGUCAGCCGCCUGGGGAGUACGGUCGCAAGAUUAAAACUCAAAGGAAUUGACGGGGACCCGCACAAGCGGUGGAUGAUGUGGAUUAAUUCGAUGCAACGCGAAAAACCUACCUACCCUUGACAUGUACGGAAGUUACCAGAGAUGGUUUCGUGCUCGAAAGAGAGCCGUAACACAGGUGCUGCAUGGC
rnacentral:rRNA from 1 species